AGUGCAUUGUAGGAUAUGAACCAAUCAGCAGCUAGGCUGACCUGAUAGGGAACUGAAGCCUCUCUUAGUGAGACUGCAGGGCUGUGAUUGGGUGUCCCCCUCCUACUGUGCUUCUGGCAGGGGCCGUUAGGACACGCCUAAAUGUCUCAUUAUGUAAACUGAAUGCAGAUGUAAGUUUGAAGAGCCACAUGACGCUGGGCAUCUUUGCCCUCAUUCCAAAUGGUGACUGCUGGAGUCUAGUCCGUGGGGCUGUGAGUAAAUCGUAGAGGAGAAGCCGCCAGGCUACAGAGCCCAAUCAGUUAACUUCUCGUCCCACUGCAGUAGCACGGCCUAGACAUGAGCCAGCACUCCGACACGGCUGCUUCCCAGCGACCUUCAGCCUUUGCCGUCCAUUCCCCCUAGCUCUGCAGCGCACACAAAGCCGGACUCUUUUCUCCAUACAACGACCAUACCAGAAGUUUCCGCGCAGCCACCUACACCGGGAUUUUCCACCUCCAGCCUUCCCUAACUAGAACCCCCACCAUUUUAAAAUAUUCCUGUAAUUCAACUUAUUGGUGCAUUACAGUUCCGACCCAUAACAACAUUUCCGUAAAUUGAGAGACACGCCUGAUUUAACCCACGGGCCCGAAUGCCCCUCACCUGUUCCCAGGGAUUCACCCUUUAUACUUACAACGGCAUUGUCACCCUCCCCGCCCGCAGCAGCAGGGCAUGAUACUCCAAAGGAAGGCGGCAGAAGAGGAGAAGCCCCUCUGCUAGAAACCGGUUUCGACGAACAACAAUGAGCUACCCUAACCGGAAGCUCCCGCCUACCAACUUCCAGUCUGUUCUAACAUGGCGCUCACUGUACCACAGCAACCUCCUGCGUUGCGUCACUGCCCGGGGCGGAGCUACGGUUCAUCAACAACACUGACGAAAUCGAGGCGUCAUUAUGAGCGAUGUAGCGAGGAAAAUAUCGUUCCUCCCGUGAAAUAUAGGAGGAGCUUCGUGAUGAUAAUACCUAGCACGUGUUGUUUUUGGUAGUGGUCUUUGGUGGUACAUACUCCAGUGUUAAACCCAAAUGAGUGGAAUUAGUCCCAGAUUGUGUAACAAACUAUAAUCUCUCCUACUAUUGUGUCUUGUACUGGGUAAACGCUGCGAUGUGUAUAUGCCUCUGUACAACGUCAUUGCAUGUGUUUGUAUACUCUUACACCAGUGCUUUUCACUGUUUCAGCGCACAACAAACAUCCAUAGUCAAUGCUAUCUCACUCCUUAGAGAAGUAUAUGAAGGUACAAUGUAUGGAUUUGUUAGAAAAAAACAAUAAAUAAAGAGAAAAACAAACAUCCAUAGUCAGACAGAGACAUAUGAAAACAUUACUAUAUCAGCCAUAGUUUCAGAAAUAUCUAGGACCGAGUAACUGUUCAACCCAAA